rnacentral:ncRNA from 12 species
GGGUUCGGGGUUGCGUAGCCUCGGAGGCAACUGCGGAUGGUCGGGCCGCCAUCCG